rnacentral:rRNA from 1 species
GAGUUUGAUCAUGGCUCAGGAUGAACGCUAGCGGCAGGCUUAAUACAUGCAAGUCGAGGGGCAGCAUGGUGUAGCAAUACACUGAUGGCGACCGGCAAACGGGUGCGGAACACGUACAGAACCUUCCUUCGAGCGGGGAAUAGCCCAGAGAAAUUUGGAUUAAUACCGCAUAAAACAGGGGCACCGCAUGGUGAUAUUUGUUAAAGAUUUAUUGGUGAUAGAUGGGCAUGCGUUCGAUUAGCUAGUUGGCGGGGUAACGGCCCACCAAGGCGACGAUCGAUAGGGGAGCUGAGAGGUUGAUCCCCCACACGGGCACUGAGAUACGGGCCCGACUCCUACGGGAGGCAGCAGUAAGGAAUAUUGGUCAAUGGACGAAAGUCUGAACCAGCCAUGCCGCGUGGAGGAUGAAGGUCCUCUGGAUUGUAAACUUCUUUUAUCUGGGACGAAAAAAGGUCUUUCUAGAUCGUCUGACGGUACCAGAUGAAUAAGCACCGGCUAACUCCGUGCCAGCAGCCGCGGUA